UUCGUGUCAUGUCUUCUUUCCAUCGUCAUUCACAGCGCUUGGGGAUUUUCUGUGCUCAUGACUGGUGGAGCUGCAUCCUCCAACCACACCCUAACCCAACCCAUAACCCAUAUUUCUCCAACAGGUUAAGCUCCACCCUUGAGCUCCAAUCAGAGUUCCUCUCACAAUCAAGUUAUCUCCCGCAAUGAGAGCUUCCAGAGUCGCACAGUAAGACAAUUUUCGAGCAUGCCGAACUCCAAUACAAAAAGAGGAUCUGCAGUCACGUGUGUUUGUCCAUCAGUGUUCAGCUGUCUGUCUGCUGUCUGGAGGAUGAUGACUUCUGUUUGUUCCUCUGAGGCCAUAGAAAUGGAUGGUCAGUCUCUGGAUGUUCCUCUCUCUCUAGAGGAGACCCGACCAGAACCGGCCCAGAGUUCAGUGCGGCCAUGUUCAUUCACAGGAGGAUGAGUGUGAGCGAUGAAGAUGAAGAGCAGCGGGUUUAAGAGUCCAGACACAGAAGAAUGAACUAGAAAUUCAUAUUUUCUUGAUUUCAUAUUGUGAUUCAAAACAAAGCACUUUACUAAAAACGCUGAAACAUUUUUCCUGCUUGUCAUGUAACCAUAGAAAACCUGUAAGGUGUUGUUAAAUUAAUGAAAUAGUGACUUCAAAUCUUAGUGGGACUUCAAAGUAAAUAUUUUAACUCAGCCAACAAAAGAAAGUUUGUGAAUUUCUAUAAUAACCAGUUUCACUAUGUAGGCCUAAACACGGCUUAUUAUCAAAUCUUUAUUUCGCAUAUGGAAGAACCAGCAAGUCAAUCCAGAUGGGUGUGAGGGAACACUUACCAAACACUUUUGAAAAUAUAAAUGUGCAGUAAAUGUAAAAAUUUUCAUUUAUAUAUUUGCGUUCUGAUACGAGUCUUGUUGCUUAACGGAAGCCAGAAGCUUUGCUUAUGAAUAUUAAAUAAUAGCCAAAUAAAAUAUGCUGACGUAUC